rnacentral:rRNA from 1 species
UACAGAGGGUGCGAGCGUUAAUCGGAAUUACUGGGCGUAAAGCGCACGUAGUCGGCUUUGCAAGUCGGUUGUGAAAUCCCCCGGGCUCAACCUGGGAACUGCAUCCGAGACUGCAUUGCUAGAGUAUGGGAGAGGAAAGCGGAAUUUCUGGUGUAGCAGUGAAAUGCGUAGAUAUCAGAAGGAACAUCAGUGGCGAAGGCGCUUUCUGGACCAAUACUGACGAUCAGGUGCGAAAGCGUGGGGAGCAAACAGG